rnacentral:rRNA from 1 species
UGGCGGACGGGUGAGUAAUGUCAGGGAAACUGCCCGAUGGAGGGGGAUAACUACUGGAAACGGUAGCUAAUACCGCAUAACGUCGCAAGACCAAAGAGGGGGACCUUCGGGCCUCUUGCCAUCGGAUGUGCCCAGAUGGGAUUAGCUAGUAGGUGGGGUAACGGCUCACCUAGGCGACGAUCCCUAGCUGGUCUGAGAGGAUGACCAGCCACACUGGAACUGAGACACGGUCCAG